UGCUUGGAUUUUCCAUGUUUCUCCUCCACAUUUGUACACUAAUGUUUUUACUCUUAUGUUUUUUUGCAAAUGGUGAUCAAUGUGAAAUAGUUACUCAGUAGCAAGUCACUAGAUCAUACACAUUUUACAGAUUCAGUGUACAUCUAGAUACUUUUUUGGGUAGGCUGAUGCUGGGAGACAAGUUAGUAGACAAGGGAGUUAGAGGCUAGGGCCAGGCUCAAGUCAUUGACUGUAAGUGCAAAUGUAGCUGAAUAUCUCUUCAUUUGCAUGCAUAAUCACAGUAAUCACAUUCUUUAAUAUAGGUGUACAUUUACAUGCAGACCCCCAACGUAACUCCUUAAAAAAUUUGGCCCUGCAUAUUUGCCAGGACCCUAUUUCCAGUGGUUCAUGUUGACUUACUGAGCAGUUGCUAGAGCAAUGUUAUUCUGUUUAUGUACCCUCCACAGGCUCAGCUCUGCACGAUGCUGGUACAAACGGAGUAAAUAUAGACAGAGCCCUAUACAGAUACAAAAUUUGUAUCCGCAUCCGAUCUGCAAACAUGGUCUGCGGAUAACCGUAUCUGCAGAUGAAGAUAUUCACGGAUAUAAAGCAGUGCUCUCUCAGCAUGGAAUGGCGGCCACCUCUUGAAGUGACAACUUGAUCAGUGGAUCCUACAAUAAGUUGAAGCUGAUGGUUCAAGGGACACUUGGAAGACACGCACUGCUGCUAAAAGGUAACUGCCAUAUCUCAAUGGCACAACAAUUUCAAUAGAAUUUCAACUUAAACAGUAGCAAAAGAGAGUUGGGGCAGAAGAAAUGAUAGAGGGCAAGAAGCAAAUAGCAAAGUAUAUUGUCCAGAGUUACCAGGCUCAACAUUUGACCUGAUCUGACUUCUUUCUAUUCCGUACGUGGUUUUUGCACAAAAUAAAAAUGCUACCAUAUAUUGUUUUAAAUUAAAAAAAAAAGUCAGUUCUAGCACCUCCACCUAGAUGUGCAAAUAAACCAAAAGAACAGUGUAAAAAGCAAACACCCCUCCUCUCCACGAUGGAAAAAAAAGACGUGUUAAGCCUUUAAGGCUCAUUAAUACGAGGAAGAAAUGCUUUUAAAAGCCUAUCAUGAAAAACACCUUGAUGUUCUUUGAAGUGCACAUACUCUCCUUUAAUUUACUUUACACUUAGUUGCUUGGGUUUUUGUCAUCUCUAGAAUGCCUGCUUUCAAAUAGAUUUCUCAGGUCAAAAUAGCUGUAAAAAGUGAGUAGGCUUUGUCAGGUUGCAAAUAUAUAGUAUGCAACAAAUGUAGUCAUCUUCAAGUCUAUUCAUCAAAAUUGCUUCAAACAAGUGCUACCUUUAAGAGUGUGGUUUUAAUUUAAUUUUUCUCCCCACCCUAUGCUAAUAAUCCUUGACAUCAAAUGUUACAAUAUCAGGCGCUGGAAGAGGCAGAACUGGAACAAAUGCAAGCUCCCCCGUGGCUACUGCCUGUCAAUGCCUGGUUCUAUAUAAGCAACCUACAUCGGACUUGAGCAGUGCAACGUAGCCUCAGUGCUGCUUUUUCCCCUCUCCUUUGGGAGAAGCUGUCCCACGUACAGAGGCAUCUGAAAGCAAGUGUAACAUAGUUGAUAAAAUACAGCCACUUCAUAGUGACUGACUCCUUAGCUGAACUCUCUGCCUAAAGAAAGUCAGUCUGUAAAAGCAGAGAUACAUGGUGAGUAGCUACACUGGCAACAAGCCAGGAGCACAGUCUAAAGAGAAGACCUCUUUCCACCACAAGAUGGAGAUAAAGCAAUUUGUUCUUCUCCUGGAGUGGCAGUCACAUACCAAAAACUGUACAGCUACAGCAGCUGAGGCUUAACACUAUUUCAUCUUUGCUUAAUCAAGUCACUGUACUUUCUGUGGAAGGACCUUUUCCAUUCAAAAUUAAAUGGAACAUACAGAAUAUAAUAUUGUGUGUGUUUCUUGUCUGAAUAAAUAACAAAUCUUCCACAGCUGGAACCAGAUCAU